rnacentral:rRNA from 1 species
UGAGUAACACGUGGGUAAUCUACCCUUUGGUGGGGAAUAACUCUGGGAAACCGGAGCUAAUACCGCAUAAUCCCGAGAGGGAAAAGCAGCAAUGCGCCGAAGGAGGAGCCCGCGGCCGAUUAGCCAGUUGGUAGGGUAAUGGCCUACCAAAGCAAAGAUCGGUAGCCGGCCUGAGAGGGCACACGGCCACACUGGCACUGAAACACGGGCCAGACUCCUACGGGAGGCAGCAGUGGGGAAUCUUGCACAAUGGGGGAAACCCUGAUGCAGCGACGCCGCGUGAGCGAUGAAGCCCUUCGGGGUGUAAAGCUCUUUCGGCAGGGAAGAUUAUGACGGUACCUGCAGAAGCAGCUGCGGCUAACUACGUGCCAGCAGCCGCGGUAAUACGUAGGCAGCAAGCGUUGUUCGGAGUUACUGGGCGUAAAGGGUGUGUAGGCGGCUUUUUAAGUUUGGUGUGAAAUCUCCCGGCUCAACCGGGAGGGUGCGCCGAAUACUGAGAGGCUAGAGUGCGGGAGAGGAAAGUGGAAUUCCUGGUGUAGCGGCGAAAUGCGUAGAUAUCAGGAGGAACACCGGUGGUGUAGACGGCUUUCUGGACCGUAACUGACGCUGAAACACGAAAGCGUGGGUAGCAAACAGGAUUAGAUACCCUGGUAGUCCACGCCCUAAACGAUGCAUAUUUGGUGUGGGUCAUUCAGUUGAUCCGUGCCGGAGCUAACGCGUUAAAUAUGCCGCCUGGGGAGUACAGUCGCAAGGCUGAAACUCAAAGGAAUUGACGGGGGCCCGCACAAGCGGUGGAGCAUGUGGUUCAAUUCGAC